UCGACGAACUCUGGUAUUGAUUGGUGCUUGCAUCAUGAUUUACAUUUGAGUGAGUGGCGAACUGGUGAGUAACACGUGGGAAACCUGCCCAGAAGCGGGGGAUAACACCUGGAAACAGAUGCUAAUACCGCAUAACAACUUGGACCGCAUGGUCCGAGCUUGAAAGAUGGCUUCGGCUAUCACUUUUGGAUGGUCCCGCGGCGUAUUAGCUAGAUGGUGGGGUAACGGCUCACCAUGGCAAUGAUACGUAGCCGACCUGAGAGGGUAAUCGGCCACAUUGGGACUGAGACACGGCCCAAACUCCUACGGGAGGCAGCAGUAGGGAAUCUUCCACAAUGGACGAAAGUCUGAUGGAGCAACGCCGCGUGAGUGAAGAAGGGUUUCGGCUCGUAAAACUCUGUUGUUAAAGAAGAACAUAUCUGAGAGUAACUGUUCAGGUAUUGACGGUAUUUAACCAGAAAGCCACGGCUAACUACGUGCCAGCAGCCGCGGUAAUACGUAGGUGGCAAGCGUUGUCCGGAUUUAUUGGGCGUAAAGCGAGCGCAGGCGGUUUUUUAAGUCUGAUGUGAAAGCCUUCGGCUCAACCGAAGAAGUGCAUCGGAAACUGGGAAACUUGAGUGCAGAAGAGGACAGUGGAACUCCAUGUGUAGCGGUGAAAUGCGUAGAUAUAUGGAAGAACACCAGUGGCGAAGGCGGCUGUCUGGUCUGUAACUGACGCUGAGGCUCGAAAGUAUGGGUAGCAAACAGGAUUAGAUACCCUGGUAGUCCAUACCGUAAACGAUGAAUGCUAAGUGUUGGAGGGUUUCCGCCCUUCAGUGCUGCAGCUAACGCAUUAAGCAUUCCGCCUGGGGAGUACGGCCGCAAGGCUGAAACUCAAAGGAAUUGACGGGGGCCCGCACAAGCGGUGGAGCAUGUGGUUUAAUUCGAAGCUACGCGAAGAACCUUACCAGGUCUUGACAUACUAUGCAAAUCUAAGAGAUUAGACGUUCCCUUCGGGGACAUGGAUACAGGUGGUGCAUGGUUGUCGUCAGCUCGUGUCGUGAGAUGUUGGGUUAAGUCCCGCAACGAGCGCAACCCUUAUUAUCAGUUGCCAGCAUUAAGUUGGGCACUCUGGUGAGACUGCCGGUGACAAACCGGAGGAAGGUGGGGAUGACGUCAAAUCAUCAUGCCCCUUAUGACCUGGGCUACACACGUGCUACAAUGGAUGGUACAACGAGUUGCGAACUCGCGAGAGUAAGCUAAUCUCUUAAAGCCAUUCUCAGUUCGGAUUGUAGGCUGCAACUCGCCUACAUGAAGUCGGAAUCGCUAGUAAUCGCGGAUCAGCAUGCCGCGGUGAAUACGUUCCCGGGCCUUGUACACACCGCCCGUCACACCAUGAGAGUUUGUAACACCCAAAGUCGGUGGGGUAACC
rnacentral:rRNA from 1 species